rnacentral:misc_RNA from 1 species
GUACAUGUAUUUAUUUAUACACAUUGGCAAUGACUGUUUCGAUUGGAGUUGUAGCAAAACAUAGACUGAUUGAUUCUCAAUAACACUCCAUUGAAUUUAAAUGCGUAGAAGAAAGCUGGAAACCAGCAGCCCUCAUAUAAAUCAAUGAUAGAGAUAUUAUACCAUAGAGAAUAUACACAGUCUACAAAAUGGGUGCACAGGAGAUGACAACAAAUAUUGAAAUUUUUAAAGCCAGGCGUGCACAACUACCUUAACAAGGCCAGCAACAGCCCAACCAAUUUCAUUCAAUAAUGAUCCUUCCGCAGGUUCACCUACGGAAA